CGAACGCUGGCGGCGUGCCUAAUACAUGCAAGUCGAACGAACUCUGGUAUUGAUUGGUGCUUGCAUCAUGAUUUACAUUUGAGUGAGUGGCGAACUGGUGAGUAACACGUGGGAAACCUGCCCAGAAGCGGGGGAUAACACCUGGAAACAGAUGCUAAUACCGCAUAACAACUUGGACCGCAUGGUCCGAGUUUGAAAGAUGGCUUCGGCUAUCACUUUUGGAUGGUCCCGCGGCGUAUUAGCUAGAUGGUGGGGUAACGGCUCACCAUGGCAAUGAUACGUAGCCGACCUGAGAGGGUAAUCGGCCACAUUGGGACUGAGACACGGCCCAAACUCCUACGGGAGGCAGCAGUAGGGAAUCUUCCACAAUGGACGAAAGUCUGAUGGAGCAACGCCGCGUGAGUGAAGAAGGGUUUCGGCUCGUAAAACUCUGUUGUUAAAGAAGAACAUAUCUGAGAGUAACUGUUCAGGUAUUGACGGUAUUUGACCAGAAAGCCACGGCUAACUACGUGCCAGCAGCCGCGGUAAUACGUAGGUGGCAAGCGUUGUCCGGAUUUAUUGGGCGUAAAGCGAGCGCAGGCGGUUUUUUAAGUCUGAUGUGAAAGCCUUCGGCUCAACCGAAGAAGUGCAUCGGAAACUGGGAAACUUGAGUGCAGAAGAGGACAGUGGAACUCCAUGUGUAGCGGUGAAAUGCGUAGAUAUAUGGAAGAACACCAGUGGCGAAGGCGGCUGUCUGGUCUGUAACUGACGCUGAGGCUCGAAAGUAUGGGUAGCAAACAGGAUUAGAUACCCUGGUAGUCCAUACCGUAAACGAUGGAUGCUAAGUGUUGGAGGGUUUCCGCCCUUCAGUGCUGCAGCUAACGCAUUAAGCAUUCCGCCUGGGGAGUACGGCCGCAAGGCUGAAACUCAAAGGAAUUGACGGGGGCCCGCACAAGCGGUGGAGCAUGUGGUUUAAUUCGAAGCUACGCGAAGAACCUUACCAGGUCUUGACAUACUAUGCAAAUCUAAGAGAUUAGACGUUCCCUUCGGGGACAUGGAUACAGGUGGUGCAUGGUUGUCGUCAGCUCGUGUCGUGAGAUGUUGGGUUAAGUCCCGCAACGAGCGCAACCCUUAUUAUCAGUUGCCAGCAUUAAGUUGGGCACUCUGGUGAGACUGCCGGUGACAAACCGGAGGAAGGUGGGGAUGACGUCAAAUCAUCAUGCCCCUUAUGACCUGGGCUACACACGUGCUACAAUGGAUGGUACAACGAGUUGCGAACUCGCGAGAGUAAGCUAAUCUCUUAAAGCCAUUCUCAGUUCGGAUUGUAGGCUGCAACUCGCCUACAUGAAGUCGGAAUCGCUAGUAAUCGCGGAUCAGCAUGCCGCGGUGAAUACGUUCCCGGGCCUUGUACACACCGCCCGUCACACCAUGAGAGUUUGUAACACCCAAAGUCGGUGGGGUAACCUUUUAGGAACCAGCCGCCUAAGGUGGGACAGAUGAUUAGGGUGAA
rnacentral:rRNA from 1 species